CCAAGCAUUUGCUUUUCUAGGUUUUUUUUUUUAAUUUUUGGUGGACUAAUGUCCCAGAAAUAUUUAAUCAGCCACAAGGAUGCUUAAAGUGUAGCAGGAAAAAUGAAAACAACAAAAUCACAUGAGUUAAAAGCAGAAGUAAAGAAAAAGGUGAGAAACUAAUGCAGCCAGAAUGAGACCAGAAAAAUCAUAUUAUGCAAAGUCCUAUCCUAGGCCUCAUCUUGAGCACGUGUGAUAAUCUAAUGAGAGAAGAGCCGACACAGCAGGCCAGUGAUCCUAAGAAAUUAACCUCCCUUCGUCCCUCCCAUUCUCUCCCCUUCCCUCCCUCUGCAGGUAUUUACUAUGCCAGGUCCUGGGAUACCGGGUGAGCCAGGCCUGGUAACUGCCCUCGUGAAGCUCGUGGUCUAAUAUGGCAACUCAGCCAAAAGCCGAUAGUUUUCUCUGCUGUCUCACUGUAACUCCUUGCCAGGCACGUACCUUCAAUUUAUGGAAGGAUAACACAGACCUUUUCCAGGUCCUUUAGGUAACCCAGAGUGACAACUUUGCACAGAGAAAUAGCCCAUUAGCAACACGGCUGAGUGAAAAGCACAUGGCAUCAGAGGGUCAGAGAAGUGACCAAAAGUCCUCAGCUGGAGUCCCAGCCUGGCCUGUCUGCAUUCGUGUGUCUUGGGGUGGAAAACAGGGUGAUAUAACCAUCUACCUCUCAUCGUUGUCAGAAGUGUGGAACCAGCAAGUGCAUGUACAUGAUCGUUUGCAUUGUAAGAGCUCGGAAACAAGGUAGCAACUGAUGGAAAUGAACAAAUAUUUGCUGCACAUGGGAUCUUCAGCCUUCAUUGCAGCAUACAGGAGCAGCAUGUGGGAGCUGGUUCCCUGACCGCGGAUUGAACCCAGGCCCCCUGCAUUGGGAAUGUGGAGUCGAAGCCCCUGAAUCACCAGAGAAGUCAGUAGAAGAGAGUUUUGCCACUUUGUGCUGAAUAAAUGAUCUUCCAUCAGGAGGGAGGAGUCAUCCUGGAGGAUAGGAGUCCUUGAAUCUGGUUUCAGACUCAUUUUGGAGAUAAAAGCACUGCCCCAUUUUUUCUGGACUCAGGUCUUUUAUUAAUUUUAAUAUUAUGAUGGGGGUGCAGUAUGAGCUGGAAGUACUGCUAAAUGCCAGCUUGUGUGCCUGAUACACAGUGAAGCCAAACAAACCUAAACAUCAAAGUUUGGAGCAGAGAAAGAGCCAAACAGAGAGAGCAGAGCAUGGUCUCCAGGACGAGCGAGCUUUAGAAGCUGUGGCGCUUGGACUUAGUUGCCCCAGGACAUGUGGGAUCUUCCUGACCAGGGACUGAACCCAUGCCCCCUGCAUUAGCAGGCGGAUUCUCAACCACUAGAACACCAGGGAGGCCUGAUACUUUUAUAAGUAGAGGUUUUUCACAGUAUUAGUGAUUGGCCUUAUUUCUUUUACUUCUUUUUAUUCUUGAUCCUAAAAACUAACACUUUAUAAAAUCAAAAAUUUGUGUUAAUCAUUAAAAAUUAGAAAAAGUACACGAAUCACCACUGAAAUUUUAGCAUGUCUUUGUUUUACUUGUAAAAGUUGUGUUAAGUAGUUUUGUCUGAUGGCAAAAGUUAUGUGUAUGUUGUACAGUAUUCCACCAUAUGGAUGUAUCAUAAUUAUUUCCCCAGUGCUAAACAUUUAGGUGGGUCCCAGUUUAUCACAAAUAAUGUCUUUCAGACUAUUCUUGGAUGUAAAUCCUUCCCUGUUUGCAAAGUAUAGCGUAUUGACUGUAGGGAUUGUAUGUCAAAGAAAAGAAACAUCUAAGAUUCUAGGUAUACAUUGCUGAUUCGAGUUCCAGAAAGCUAAGAUCAACCUACAAUCCCAUCAGGGUUUAUCUGGCUGUCUCACAAAACCCUGCCCUGCAAUGAGUAAAAUUUUUUCUUAAUCUUUCCAAUUACAUAAGUAAAUGGUAUUUAUUGUUAGAAUCUGCAUUUCUUAGAUUACUAGUGAAGCUGCAAAUAUUUUCAGUAUCUAUAAGUAUUUUUAUAAAAUUAUAAUAUACUUUAUUAUAUUUUAAUUAUAUAUAAUAUUUAUAUAUUAUAGAAUUAUAUAUUUUAUAAAUAUCCAUAUCUAUAAAUAUUUUUAAUAGUGUUCACCUUUCAAUUUUCAUUUUGAGACUUUAAGAGCUUUUUAAGAAUUAAGGAUAUUCUUUGUCAUUUGCUGCAAAUGUUUCUUCCAGUUAAUCCUUUUAGUUUUAUUUCUUCUUACAUACUGAUUUGUGAAUUUGUGUGUAAUUUUUUCUAGGCCCUAGGACUUUUCCCCAUUACUUUUGGGAUUAAAAAACCUUCCAGUCAUAUCAAUAACAUUUACCUAUAUUUUCUUCUAGUUUUCUGACUUUAUUUUUUAAUAUUCCUUAAUUUAUUGAACAUCUGAUAAGAGUGGAAAAAUUCAACAUUAAAUUUGAGUAGUUCAUCAGUUUGCAUGACACCUCUUAUUUAAUCAUAUUUUUUUUCUCCACUGAAUUAUCAUACUUUAUUCAGCAUAUAUAAGCUCCCAGACAUUCUAGAGUCACUUUCUGAACUGUGUUCUGUUCCAUUCAUCUUUUUAUGCUUGGACCAGAAAGAAGCAAUUUACAAAUCCACUUUAAUACCUUGUAAGGCAGAUAUUCUCUUAUUUUUCAAAUCGUUUUAGCUUUUUAAAUAUACAUUUACUCAAAUGCUAAAGUUAAGAUUCCAUUUUUUAAUUGCUCUCUUCCUAAUCCUUCUGGAAACUUCAUUAUACCUGUUAAUUAAUCUGGGAACACACUAUGUCUCUCAGUUUUUUCAAGUCUGCUUUUAUGUCUCCUAGUGCAAAUGUUAUAACUCACUUUGCACAUUUUUCUUGCUAAAACAAUUCUCAGGUAUCUUCCAUGUUUGCUAUUGUAAGUGGGAUCCUUUUUUUUUAUUCUAUCUUCUGUUUCUGGAAUAGGAAAGAAUUCAUUUUUGUAUAUUUCUCUUCAAUGCAGCCUAUCUACUGGGCUUGCUUUUUAAUUAUAAGCAGUCAUUACCAAACUUGUCUGCAUGUUAGAAUCACCUAUGGAUCUUUAAAAAUUCUCAAGCCCAGGCCACACCCCAGACCAAGUAAACCCCAUUCAGUGUGGUGGGGCUCUGCUCGAGCUUCCGAGCUUGACAUUCCCCUGUCGAUUUCAGUUUGCAGAUAAAUUUUGGAAUCCACCACUCUAAAUGAUUUUCUGCUGAUUUUCUUCUGUUUUGAAGGGUAUCAUCUGACUGACGAAUAACAGUAGUUGUAUCUUCUCCUUUACAAUCACAUCUCUUU